rnacentral:rRNA from 1 species
UACGGAGGGGGCUAGCGUUGUUCGGAAUUACUGGGCGUAAAGCGCGUGUAGGCGGUUAUGCAAGUCGGGUGUGAAAGCCCGGAGCUCAACUCCGGAAGUGCAUUCGAUACUGCGUAGCUAGAGUACUGGAGAGGAUGGUGGAACUCUCGGUGUAGAGGUGAAAUUCGUAGAUAUCGAGAAGAACACCGGUGGCGAAGGCGGCCAUCUGGACAGAUACUGACGCUGAGACGCGAAAGCGUGGGGAGCAAACAGG